GACAGAGGGUGCAAACGUUGUUCGGAAUUACUAGGCGUAAAGCGCGUGUAGGCUGCUCCGCAAGUCGGGUGUGAAAGCCCUGGGCUCAACCUAGGAAGUGCACUCGAAACUGCAGAGCUGGAGUCCUGGAGAGGAAGGCGGAAUUCUCGGUGUAGAGGUGAAAUUCGUAGAUAUCGAGAGGAACACCGGUGGCGAAGGCGGCCUUCUGGACAGUGACUGACGCUGAGGUGCGAAAGCGUGGGGAGCAAACAGG
rnacentral:rRNA from 1 species